rnacentral:rRNA from 1 species
GAUGAACGCUGGCGGCGUGCUUAACACAUGCAAGUCGAACGGUGAACGAGGGAGCUUGCUCCCUCCGGAUCAGUGGCGAACGGGUGAGUAACACGUGAGCAAUCUGCCCCGAACUCUGGGAUAAGCGUUGGAAACGACGUCUAAUACCGGAUACGACGCGCGAAGGCAUCUUCUGCGCGUGGAAAGAAUUUCGGUUCGGGAUGAGCUCGCGGCCUAUCAGCUAGUUGGUGAGGUAACGGCUCACCAAGGCGACGACGGGUAGCCGGCCUGAGAGGGUGACCGGCCACACUGGGACUGAGACACGGCCCAGACUCCUACGGGAGGCAGCAGUGGGGAAUAUUGCACAAUGGGCGCAAGCCUGAUGCAGCAACGCCGCGUGAGGGACGACGGCCUUCGGGUUGUAAACCUCUUUUAGUAGGGAAGAAGCGAAAGUGACGGUACCUGCAGAAAAAGCACCGGCUAACUUCGUGCCAGCCGCCGCAGUAAAAC